rnacentral:lncRNA from 1 species
AAUAAACACACCCUCACCGUCUCUUUCAAAAGGACAUUGUACCACCCUCUUCUCUAUAGCCUUUUUUCCUGCAAACUCUUCUCUAUUUCUACUCGAUCAUUUCAUUUGUCCCAUCGUUCUCUUUACUCUAUUCCUCUCCUCUGCGCGUAGCAAAAAAUUAAUCUUUGCUUCUUUUCUCUCCCUCCCAUCAACUUCACAUGCAUUAUCCUCUUAAUUAGCAUUUAAUCAAGAGCUAGAUCAAGGUUUCCCUUUCACUUGCAGAUCAAUCACUUGUUCAUUGGUUACUGCAUUUUAUAUUAGUUGAUCAGAUCGAUUAACUGGUUGCUAUGGAUUUAGAGUUUCAAUAUAAAGAAGUAAGUACUUUCUCUUACACGCUAAUUUUUCUUUAAUUAUAUACUAUGUCAUAUUAUUAUGUUUAUGUGUUCCGAGGUACUAUCAACUUCACGAGUUAUCAUCUCAGUGAAAGUAGUUUGAUUUUGUAACGUUGAUGAACGGAGUUUAAAUCUUUUAUAAAAUGGUUGUAAAAUGAUGCUACAUUAACUAAUAAAAAAAAUAUUGCUAUGUUAUUAUGCUAAUUAAUAUUAAUAUUAUGGAGAUUAAUGUUCUAUAUAUACGUAACAUGCAUCAGGAGUUCUGGAGGAACUCAAGGGGAGUGCAACUUUUCACCUGUAAAUGGUUGCCAUUAUGUUCUCCAAAGGCUCUNN